AAAAGAUACAAUGAAAUGGUCACUGCUAUCGGCCUCGGUUACGGUUUCGUGAUCCUUGAUACUGCAGAAAAAUAUAGAGAAAAUGGGACACUCAUGCAGUUGCAGUUGCAGUUGCAGUUGCUAUUGCAUGUAGUCUUGAUGAGUAAAAACUUUACCUUGAGGCCUCAAUCUAAAACUAUGUUUACGACCGACCGACGUUGAUAUCAAUUCUAUGCUGUCAAAAGUCACAAGUGACAAGGGAAAACGCAACCAACAAGAUGAGGGUCAUUGAAUGGACCCUUUGUCUGUUCCACCGCAAACUCUCUGUCUUUGCCACGAGAAGGAGUGAUUGGUUUUCCGGUUUGUUCUUGUUGUGAUGUGAAUAAGAGAGAAUGGAGAAUGGAUCAACAGCAAGGCGGAAUUGAGGUGGUCGAAGAGAUUCGACCAAGGUGGUGUUCACCUGCAGGGAUUCCAACGAUCAAAUCAGAAGUAGUUUGGGGUGAAUGUAUGUAAAAGAGGAUUACUUGUGAAAGGAGACCUCUAUAUAUAGACAUUUUCAGCAGGGAAAUCUGUUGGAGUUCAUUUCCUUGAGUGCACGUGUAGUUGAGUGCUCUGAUAUCCUUUAAGUUUACUAUUUAGCCAACUUAUGAUUGUGAUUAAGUUUUAUUCUUUACGUCGUCUAAAGUAGCGUGGCCGGGAUAUUCCCCAUAACAGUUCUAAAUUGAAAAAAAUUCUUCCAAUGAUUCUUGUGUUUGUGUGUGUGUGUUUUGCUUCCACAAUUAUGUUCAAGGUUGAGUGGUUGAGUUCAGGGGGACAGGAGAUGCAUUAUAGAUUUGUGAGCAACAUAAUUGGCAUUACAUGAUUUAUGUAUAUCUCUUGGAGUGAUCAAAUCUGAUUUACUCCGAUACCCAUGUCUCUCUAGAGAAGCCGUUGGUGAAAUGAUGCAGAAGGGAAAAUAACUGAACGGAAAAAAAAGGCAAAGGGAAGUUGAAAGGUUUGUUCUUCCGAGUCAAGGAGCUGAAGGAUUUUGGAAAUAAGAAAGAAUCCAACCUUGCUGCCCUUCUAAGAAAUAUGGAAAAUCAGCAUCAACAAACUCAAGUAGCCGGAUAAAUGUGACAAGAUUCUAUCCAAAUCUGUGAAUACAGAGAGAAAAACUGUCCAAUAACUUUGACAGUGAAGUCAGUGGGCCUCGAAAUGAUGCCUCAAAAACAAAAAAGGAAAGUCUCAAGCUUUAAUCUUUCAAAAUGUGUGAAGUGUUACCUUUUAUCUAGCUCACACAUGUUUUGCUUUGGAUCUCUUGGUACCAUCAGGAGUUUAGGAGAAUAUUGAACAAAAUGACAAUUAAGUUAUAUCAACAUGUGGAUCUUAUAUUUAUGUUUUAGUUAAGCUUAGGUCAGUGAAUAUAUGCAAUUCAAUAUUAGGUUUCAUUACCCAUCUCUAGAUGAGUUUCUCUCUUUAAUUUUAUUAGUUUCUCUCCUUAAUUUUUUUAGCAAUGUAUAGGUCCAGUUUUCUCUUUUCGAAUAGCAGUUGUUGUUCUCAGUCUGAGUUCUUUAUAUAGCCCAACUAAAACUACUAUCCAUAUUACGCUGUCUUAUGUAUAGCCAGAACCAGGGGAUUACAUUGGAUACAUCAGAAGAAACUUAACAAUGUAAAGAACAGCAUGCAGUGAUGAUAAAAUUCUAUUGUCAAAUUCUUGUUUUUUAUGUUAGUUCUACUACACAGUCUGUAUUAAAACAUUCUGUCUUGUGUAUAGCCAGAACCAGGGGAUUACAUUGGAUACAUCAGAAGAAACUUAACAAUGUAAACAACAGCAUGCAGUGAUGAUAAAAUUCUACUGUCAA